AAUCCCUGUUGCGAACACUUCCACAAUAUGUCCUUGAAACUCUGCCAUGUCUCAAACAAUGAUUCGAGCUCCAUCUAUAAAAAUGAGGAUAUCACAUUACGAAGCCU